GUAGGUGGCAAGCGUUGUCCGGAAUUAUUGGGCGUAAAGCGCGCGCAGGGGGUUCUUUAAGUCUGAUGUGAAAGCCCACGGCUCAACCGUGGAGGGUCAUUGGAAACUGGAGAACUUGAGUACAGAUGAGGAAAGCGGAAUUCCACGUGUAGCGGUGAAAUGCGUAGAGAUGUGGAGGAACACCAGUGGCGAAGGCGGCUUUCUGGUCUGUAACUGACGCUGAGGCGCGAAAGCGUGGGGAGCAAACAGGAUUAGAUACCCUGGUAGUCCACGCCGUAAACGAUGAGUGCUAAGUGUUAGGGGGUUUCCGCCCCCCUUAGUGCUGCAGCUAACGCAUUAAGCACUCCGCCUGGGAGUACGGCCGCAAGGCUG
rnacentral:rRNA from 1 species